rnacentral:rRNA from 1 species
ACGGAGCACCCCUGAUUGAGGUUUCGGCCAAAUGAUGGGAAUGCUUAGUGGCGGACUGGCGAGUAACGCGUGAGGAACCUGCCUUUCAGAGGGGGACAACAGUUGGAAACGACUGCUAAUACCGCAUGAUGUGUGACGGGGGCAUCCCUGACACACCAAAGAUUUUAUCGCUGAAAGAUGGCCUCGCGUCUGAUUAGCUAGUUGGUGAGGUAACGGCCCACCAAGGCGGCGAUCAGUAGCCGGACUGAGAGGUUGGCCGGCCACAUUGGGACUGAGAUACGGCCCAGACUCCUACGGGAGGCAGCAGUGGGGAAUAUUGGGCAAUGGACGCAAGUCUGACCCAGCAACGCCGCGUGAAGGAAGAAGGCUUUCGGGUUGUAAACUUCUUUGACAGGGGAAGAGUAGAAGACGGUACCCUGAAAACAAGCCACGGCUAACUACGUGCCAGCAGCCGCGGUAAUACGUAGGUGGCAAGCGUUGUCCGGAUUUACUGGGUGUAAAGGGCGUGUAGCCGGGUCGGUAAGUCAGAUGUGAAAUCUGGAGGCUCAACCUCCAAACUGCAUUUGAAACUGCUGAUCUUGAGUAUCGGA